rnacentral:rRNA from 1 species
UACGAAGGGGGCUAGCGUUGUUCGGAAUUACUGGGCGUAAAGGGCGCGUAGGCUGUGCUGUAAGUCAGGCGUGAAAGGCCCGGGCUCAACCUGGGAACUGCGUUUGAUACUGCGGCGCUGGAAUACAGGAGAGGAUGGCGGAAUUCCCAGUGUAGAGGUGAAAUUCGUAGAUAUUGGGAAGAACACCGGUGGCGAAGGCGGCCAUCUGGCCUGCAAUUGACGCUGAGGCGCGAAAGCGUGGGGAGCAAACAGG